rnacentral:rRNA from 1 species
UACAGAGGGGGCAAGCGUUGUUCGGAAUUACUGGGCGUAAAGGGCGCGUAGGCGGCCUUCUAAGUCGAACGUGAAAUCCCCGGGCUCAACCCGGGAACUGCGUCCGAGACUGGAAGGCUCGAAUCCGGGAGAGGGAUGUGGAAUUCCAGGUGUAGCGGUGAAAUGCGUAGAUAUCUGGAGGAACACUAGUGGCGAAGGCGAGACUCUGGACAGUUCCUGACGCUGAGGCACGAAGGCCAGGGGAGCAAACGGG